rnacentral:rRNA from 1 species
ACCUGGUUGAUCCUGCCAGUAGUGAUAUGCUUGUCUCAAAGAUUAAGCCAUGCAAGUCUAAGUAUAAAUCAUUUUUUACUGAUGAAACUGCGAACGGCUCAUUAAAUCAGUUAUAGUUUAUUUGAUGGUAUUGGGACUUGUGCCCAACUACAUGGAUAACUGUAGUAACCUAGAGCUAAUACAUGCAAAUCAACUCAACUAGUUUUUUUCGGAAGAGUUGGCACUUAUUAGAUAACAAACCAAUAUUCCUUCGGGGAUUUUAAUGGUGAAUCAUAAUAACUGAACAGAUCGCAUGGUCUUGUACCGGCGACGUUUCAUUCAAAUUUCUGCCCUAUCAACUAGAUGUUAGUAUAUAGGACUAACAUGGUUUUAACGGGUGACGGGGAAUUGGGGUUCGAUUCCGGAGAAGGAGCAUGAGAAACGGCUACUACUUCUAAGGAAAGCAGCAGGCGCGCAAAUUAUUCAAUGGUAACAACUUACCGAAAUAGUGACAAAAAAUAACAAUGUAUCACACAAUGUGUGAAACAAUUGUAAUGAGUACAAUUUAAAACCCUUAACGAGUAACAAUUAGAGGGCAAGUCUGGUGCCAGCAGCCGCGGUAAUUCCAGCUCUAAUAGCGUAUAUUAAUAUUGUUGCAGUUAAAAAGCUCGUAGUUGAAACUUGAAUGUUUUUUAAUAAGUUUGGUCUACCUUUUAAGGUUUUGACUACUUGUUGGCAUUCUUCCUACUAGUAACUCGGUUAUGUUCUUAAUUGAAUGUAACAGUAAUCCUUUGGGGUUAUCAUUUAAUGUGAAUAGCUCCACCAUAUUAAUGGAGAUGUGUAAAAACAUUAAAAUUAAAUGAGUGGAUCAAGUUAUUUAUGUUAAAUGGAGUUCUAGUUCGUUUACUUUGAGAAAAUUAGAGUGUUUAAAGCAGCCUCUUGGGGCUCUGAAUACAUUAGCAUGGGAUAAUAGAAUAGGAUUUAAGUCACUAUAUUUGUUGGUUUGAAUGAAUUAAAUAAUGAUUAAGAGGGACAGUUGGGGGUAUUUAUAUUGGAUGGUUAGCGGUGAAAUGCAUGGAUCCAUUCAAGAUAAACUAAAGCGAAAGCAUUUACCAAGGAUGUUUUCAUUAAUCAAGAACGAAAGUUAAGGGAUCGAAGACGAUCAGAUACCGUCGUAGUCUUAACUAUAAACUAUGCCGACCAGGGAUAUGAGUUGUUAUGAAUCUAUCUUUCGGAUAGAUUCAACUUCCUCUUGUGGACCUUGUGAGAAAUCAUAAGUUUUUGGGUUCUGGGGGGAGUAUGGUCGCAAGGCUGAAACUUAAAGGAAUUGACGGAGGGGCACCACCAGGAGUGGAGCGUGCGGCUUAAUUUGACUCAACACGGGAAAACUUACCAGGUCCAGACAUUAGAAGGAUUGACAGAUUGAUAGCUCUUUCAUGAUUUAAUGGGUGGUGGUGCAUGGCCGUUCUUAGUUGGUGGAGUGAUUUGUCUGGUUAAUUCCGAUAACGAACGAGACCUUUACCAUACUAAAUAGUUUAAUUUAUUCUUUUUUGAAUAGAUUUUCAAUUUAUAAACUUCUUAGAGGGACUAUUGGUUUCUAAACCAAAGGAAGUAAAGGCGAUAACAGGUCUGUGAUGCCCUUAGAUGUUCUGGGCUGCACGCGCGCUACAAUGAUAAACUCAACGAGUAUUUAAAGUUUUUUUCUAACUUUAUCGCUUAGCCGGAAGGCUUGGCUAAUCUUAAACGUUUAUCGUGCUUGGGAUAGAUGAUUGCAAUUAUUUAUCUUGAACCAGGAAUUCCUAGUAAUCGUAUAUCAUCAGUAUGCGAUGAUUACGUCCCUGCCCCUUGUACACACCGCCCGUCGCUGCUACCGAUUGGAUGGUCCGGUGAAAUCCUCGGAUAGCGAAGGAUACUUUAACUUUCGGGUUGAAGUCCAUUGCUAGAAGUUGAUUAAACCUUAUCAUCUAGAGGAAGCAAAAGUCGUAACAAGGCUUCCGUAGGUGAACCUGCGGAAG